CUUUGCCGAGUGGCACUCCCGAAGGAUGAGGGAGUAGUGGUGUUGGCAAUUCAAGACUGUCUUUCCUACCCUCUUCAGUGCCUCGUUCCUUGAUAAGAUAUUAAAACCAGAUAAGAAAACAGGCUGGGGCCAGGCAUAGUCGCAUAUGCCUGUAGUCCUAGCACUUUGGGAGGCUGAGGCAGGAGGCUUGCUUGUCCCCAGAAGGUUGAGGCUGCAGUGAACUUUGAUCAGAGACUGAGAAAGGUAAGAAAGCUGGCAAAGGACACCCCAAUAAGAGCAGUACCAGUUUUUCUUCAGAUGGGGUACGCACGGGCUUGAAGAAAGGCUGGCUCUGCUGGGGAAGCAGUGCCGUGUCCUGCAGAAGAACAAACACUCCCAUGUCAGACCACCUGAAUUCAGACUCCAGCUCUGCCACUCACUGUGUAAACCUGGAUAAGUCACUUAAUCAUUCUUUGCCUCAGGUCUCCUCUUCUGUAAAAUGGGCAUUCAAAGAAUAUUUAUGAAACACCUAUUGUAUGCCAAGAAUUGUUUGACUCUGUGAGAAUAGAGCAAUUAGCAAAAAGCUUAUUGUCCAACAGGGGCACACAGGCUUUAACCACAUACAAAUUAUGAUAGAUAAUAGGUAUAAUGAAGAAAAAUAAAGGAAGGUAAAGGGACAAGCUGACAGGGAGUGAUAUUCUAGAUAGGUAGUCAGAGAAGAUCUCCAUGAAGAAGUGAUAUUUGAGCAGGGACAUGAGAAAAAAGUGAAUGAGUCAUGCCAUACAUCCACAAGGAUAAGAACAGCAGGUCCCAGAGCCCUAAGUAGAGACAAGCUUAGUGUGUUCAGGGAAGAACAAAAAUGCAAAAGUGACAUGUAGCUUAAGCAGAGUCAGUGAAAGAGACAGUAAGAGAGUGGCUAAGGCUGGAUGGUUCUGGGCUGGUAGGCCUUGGUAAGGACUUUAGAUUGAUUCUAAAUGUGACUUGGAAGUGUAUCAGGUAAGGGUCAGUCACAGGAGCCAUAAAAUAUUCUCAUUAUUUAAUUUAAAAGAGACCUGAUUCAGAGAAUCUGAGUGCUUAUAAACUUAUCGAAAGGGUUCCAAGAGCAAGCUCUAAGCUGGGCCUCCAGGAACGAGACCCAGAACACCACCAUCCAACCACGCUGCCAGAUAUUGACAAAAAGCGAAUAUCUUCUCCUUGACACCCCUACUCCCAACUCAAAGCAGGAAGUAAGGUCUUCCUUUCUGCUCUUCCAUAGCACUUCACUUGUAUUUCUCCUGACAAACUUGAGAGGAGAGGCCAGCCAGGCUUCCUGGGUCCAGUAGGUGCUCAGAAAGUUGUGAAACUCACUCAUUUCCUGCAUCAGGACUUCCUUCGGUCCUGGAUGAAUAAUAAAUAUAUGCUUAAAAUAUUCCUAACACCAGGAUUUGUGCAUGUGUUUUCUUCCCCAAGAAAGCUAUAAAGAGCAAAUAUUUUGCUAUAAGCUUUCCUCUGUCCUCUCUCCCUGUCUCCCUUCCCCCUCCCCUGAAACUAAAAGGAAUGUUAACUGCCUCUUUUUCUGUGACCAGUGGACCUCAUCUAUGCUCCCAAUUCCAAUUCCUUGUAAACAUACUUUGUAAAGUCCUGUAAAUUCCCAUCUCCUUUGCCAUGCCACUGCAAGGUCAUAAAGUAGAUAAAACCUAAGUUACAAUUCCGGUUUUCCUCAAAAUCUAAGACAUGUCACAAAAUAAUUUACUGCCUUUGUUUCUUGUGCGGUAACAUCUUCCCUCUGCACGUAUUUCCCACCUUAAAGAGUUUAAAAGGCAACUGCAUAGUCUAACUCUGCCUACCCGCUUGGGACCCCUUCCACGCUGUGGAAGUUUUGUACUGUCACUCUGUUCAAUAAAGCUUACAGCUUUUUUUCUCUU